ACGGCCACAUCACGUUGAAACACCGGAUCCCGUCCUAUCACCGAAGUUAAGCAACGUCGAGUGUGGUCAGUAUCUUGAUGAAUGCCCUCUAGAGAAUACCAGGUGCUGUAAG